GCCGCUAGGUGAAUUGGUAGACC
rnacentral:tRNA from 1 species